rnacentral:rRNA from 1 species
UCGAGCGAACCCUUCGGGGUGAGCGGCGGACGGGUGAGUAACGCGUGGGUAACCUGCCCUGUACACACGGAUAACAUACCGAAAGGUAUGCUAAUACGGGAUAAUAUAUGAGAGUCGCAUGGCUUUUGUAUCAAAGCUCCGGCGGUACAGGAUGGACCCGCGUCUGAUUAGCUAGUUGGUAAGGUAACGGCUUACCAAGGCAACGAUCAGUAGCCGACCUGAGAGGGUGAUCGGCCACAUUGGAACUGAGACACGGUCCAAACUCCUACGGGAGGCAGCAGUGGGGAAUAUUGCACAAUGGGUGAAAGCCUGAUGCAGCAACGCCGCGUGAGCGAUGAAGGCCUUCGGGUCGUAAAGCUCUGUCCUCAAGGAAGAUAAUGACGGUACUUGAGGAGGAAGCCCCGGCUAACUACGUGCCAGCAGCCGCGGUAAUACGUAGGGGGCUAGCGUUAUCCGGAAUUACUGGGCGUAAAGGGUGCGUAGGCGGUCUUUCAAGCCAGAAGUGAAAGGCUACGGCUCAACCGUAGUAAGCUUUUGGAACUGUAGGACUUGAGUGCAGGAGAGGAGAGUGGAAUUCCUAGUGUAGCGGUGAAAUGCGUAGAUAUUAGGAGGAACACCAGUAGCGAAGGCGGCUCUCUGGACUGUAACUGACGCUGAGGCACGAAAGCGUGGGGAGCAAACAGGAUUAGAUACCCUGGUAGUCCACGCCGUAAACGAUGAGUACUAGGUGUCGGGGGUUACCCCCCUCGGUGCCGCAGCNUACGCAUUAAGUACUCCG